rnacentral:lncRNA from 1 species
CGACAAUUCCUUUCCUCCUAACCACCCUCUACACAAGAUAUUUAAUCGAAACACUUUGAAAUUAAGCUACAGCUGCAUGCCUAACAUUCAUGGUAUUGUCUCUGGUCAUAACAAGACAAUACUCAACAAACAAGACAAAACUAAAAACAACUAAGAAUCAAACGACUGAAAAGAGUAGUGAGUGCAAUUGCCGUAAGAAAGAUUCCUGUCCUCUCUCCAGUAAAUGCUUAACAAGCAGCAUUGUUUACCAAGCAACUGUGACUAGAAACGAUACAAAAGAG